rnacentral:rRNA from 1 species
UACGGGGGGGGCAAGCGUUGUUCGGAAUUACUGGGCGUAAAGGGUUCGUAGGUGGCUUGCUAAGUCAGACGUGAAAUCCCUCAGCUUAACUGGGGAACUGCGUCUGAGACUGGUGAGCUCGAGUGCAGGAGAGGAACGCAGAAUUCCAGGUGUAGCGGUGAAAUGCGUAGAUAUCUGGAGGAAUACCGGUGGCGAAGGCGGCGUUCUGGACUGCAACUGACACUGAAGAACGAAAGCCAGGGGAGCAAACGGG